UGUUCCCAUUAGCGCUGUCCAUCUUGGACUGAGGUUGGGUGUGUGGCCUUGCUCGCAGCUGGGGAGGCUUGGGCCCGGGUUUUUGCCAACACCGCGUGGAGGGGCUGGAAGCACCUUCCUGUUUCAUCCCACCCGUUCUGCGGCCGCCUUCCUUUCCCCUCCCACGUGUUCUGAGUGCCUCCCUUCCCCUCCACACACCAAAAGCCAGUCCACUGCACAUUUUCUCUCAAGCUGAGAAAAGAACUUCUGUCUCUUCAGCUUCGACUUUUUUCUGCCUGGCCCUGUUCACUGGAGGAGGCGGAGUGUUCAUACUUUGGAAGCUAGAGGAAGCUAAACAAUUCCGCUUGCUGCUGCGGGUGGGUGUGUGUUUAUGCGUGCGUAGCUUUCUCUCCAUGUGGCACCCUCUUCUCUCUUAUCUUUUCCAUGGUUCCUGUUUGCUGCCCUCUGCUGAGUGUUGAUAGGAGAUGGAGAGGGAGAGAGCGAGCCCAGGGUUUCUUCUCUUUGCUCCUGAGAGGAAGCUGAGCUUCAGAUGCUGGAUUUUCUCCCACCUUCUCAGGAGAGAAGCCACCGCCUAAAGCAACAUCAGCAAGAACCGUUACAAUGUUGAAGGUUAAGGGGAUGGCUCAGUGGGUAAGAUCGCAGCUAAGCAAGCUGGAGGACCUGGGUUUGGCUGUCUAUGCCGGUUACCUCAAUAUCGGGGGCAAAGACAGUUGGAUUCCGAGAGCCUGCUGGACCUGCUAGCCAAAACAGCCUUCAGACUGUGAGUGACUCCCAUCUGUGGCAAUUAGGUAUUUGGUGGUAAAGGAAGACAUUGCACAGCCUAUUCUAGCUUCCACGUGGGUGUGCACACCUGGACAUUCACACACGUGACCAUAUAUACCACAGACGCAUGUGCACAUGCAAGCGCACAUGCAGUGAGCAGUGAUUCAUGCUUAACCCUUCGUUCCUCUGUUUCUCCGUAUCGGAUCAGGAAAAGGGACCAGUUUCUCAGCUCAUCCCUCCAUCCCCUCCUGUCUGAGCAGAGGGGAGAGGCCAUUGCCUUGGGACUGAAGCUUUCCAGUAGGCCCCUGGGUGGUGCUGAGAUAUGACCUCCCUGCUCUCUUAGACUGUGGCUGGGCAGCGUGGAAGGCUCCAGCUUUGUCAUCCCACAACCUGAUGUCAAACCCCCAGGCCUAGGUGGGCCACCUAACAUCUUUACCCCGAAAUCCCUGGUCCAUGUCACAAGAGUGACACUAGUUACCUUGGAACUUCUUUUGAGGAUGAACUAGUCACAGGUCACCGAGUACAAAGCCCUGAGCACAGCACUUAGCUCAGAAUUAGAGCCCCCGAUGGCAGUCAAAAUGGCUGUUUCAGCUCAACCUGGCUUUGGGUAAGGACCUGGUUUCCUAGCUUCUCUGUGGCUGAGAGGUUGGGAAGCUUAUGCCAUCCCUGGAGGGUUAGGGCUCCGGGAAGAAGGGCUGACCCACACGGAGGCCGCACAGCUUCUGAGUAUACCAUAGCCGGUUGGUUGGUGAUUGGUAUAAAUGAUGUCUCUCGUGCCAACACCUCUCCUUGCACACAGCUCUCGGACUGUUUGGAGCCCGAAGCAGUCUUUGGAUGGUGUUGUUCUCCCACUUCCUACCUGGGAGGGAACCUGAGCAUCUUUCUAGAGUUUUCUUCUCAGCAGUCGCCUCCAGGAAGUGUGUUUGGUGACUCUAGUCCCAGGAGUUCUCCUGAGCCUCCCUUCCCUCAUCUGCUUGCCUGGAUGGGAAGACUUCCUGGGUGCCCACUCUCACUGGUGAGACAUCCAUGCCAGUCUGUCACACACCGUGAUCAUUUCUGACCGGUGGCGGACUACUUCGUGAGGUCAGGGAUGCUCUCCUCCCGUCAUUACAGAAUGACUAAGGACUGACAGACAAGCCGUAUGGCUCAUUCUCAGCAGCCACUGGCCGGGACUCGAGGCUUAGCCUCAGGAAUGGCUUUCCACGAACUUCGGGGUGCUUAGAACCCCGAGCCUGGAAAGGGUGGAGACCUCAAGGAACAUGACUGAGCUUAUUCCCUGGAGCUCCCCACACACAUCCAGGAGACCGACCGCUUCUUGGGCCUACCCCACUGCCACGAGAAUGCCCCCAGCUGGCCUCCUGUUGGGCAGUGAGGAACAGCUCUCUGCCAGAUGCCAGCAGGUCAGGCUCUGAGCCUGUGUCCUGGUCUAGAUCCGGUCUGAGUGGUGGUGACCUUCUGCAUGCUCUACUCUGGGCUGGGCGCCUGCCACCUGCUGCCUUCCAGGGCGGGGUUGGACCUGUGGGACCAGGGCAAGGUGCCUGAACCAGGAACCCCAGCGGAAGGGUGGCUUCGUGGAGAACUCAGCAGCCUCUACCCUGUAGGGAUGAGGGCAGAAGGGACCGUGUGGGGCUGGGAACCAGUCCCAUCUCCCCAAAUGAGCAUGUUAGACUGUAUCACAGUGUCCUGGUGUUAAUUAAAGAUGGGGUAACUGAGAUCAGCAAGAUGCAGUAACACAUCUGUGGCCGUACAAUCAAGCAGUGGGGGAAGUGGGCUCGUCCGCUUCUGUCCACUGCUGUAGAGCCGCUGACUGUGUGAUUGGGUUGAGUCCAGUCUGUCCCCUGCCAUGGAGGACAGAAGGACAAGUUGGAGGUCACCACUGAAGGCUAUAAACCCAGUGCUUGUUCUGAUAGCUGUUGCUUCUGGAAUGCACUGAAUGCUCAAUAACAGUGGCCAGGAUGAGGGUCCCAGCUGGACACGGUCCUUUGGCCUCCCAAGAGCCUGGGCCUCAGCUUGUGUGCUGGUGUGGGGUUGGCGAUCAGGGCUUAUGGGGAAUACAUUUCCCAGGCGAGCUGGGUUGGAACAACCUGUGAGGUGGGUGUGGUUUCCCGUUGCUCAGGCACGCUGCUCUCAAGUGAGAACUGUUUCUUCUUGCCUGUUUCCUCCUGUGUAUUGAUUGUUGUCAGCUGCUGACAGCAGUGUGUGUGUGUGUGUGUGUGUGUGUGUGUGUGUGUGUGUGUGUGUGUGUAUUUGUGAAAUAGCUAGUUUCUAAAUUUGGUACCUAACUUCAGCAAGAAGUUAAUGAUUCUGGUGCACUGGGGCCUCUAAUUUGGAUUCCUGGUUAUUCUGUUGACAAUAAGUCUUAACAGCUGUUUUCUUCAAAAGGUCUCUUUUCAUUAAUUGUGCCUGGGAGGUGGUGGGGGUGGGUGUACCUGCACAUAUAUGCCCAUGGAUGUUAGGGCCAGAGUUCAACGUCAGAUGUCAUUCUUCCAGUAUUGACUGCCUCAGUGAAACAAGGCCUCUCGCUGAGACUGGGGCUCACCCGUUAGGUUAGACUCACUAGUGGGCCUCAUGACUCCUGUUUCUGCCUCCCAUUCUGUUGUUGGAUUAUCACUGUGUUAACCAAGGCUGACUGUGCGUGCUCUCUGUCUCUCCUUCUCUCUUCAUUCUUGUUUUGGCUUUCUUUUUCCUCCUCCCCCUCCCCCUCCCCCCCUCCCCCCUCCUCUUGCAUGACUUCUAGGCAUUGAAUUCUGUUCUUCAUGCUUACUUGGGAAGCACUUUAUAGACUAUUCUAGUUCCCCAGUUUACAUGUGUCCUCUAAUGGAUUCUAAACCACGUUUGGCCCAGUAGGAAGUUGUGGCUUGUCCAGGACUGGCCCUUACUUGGUUAGAUGUUACUGUGUUUCGAUGUCAGCAGUUGGUAAAGCCAGUCAUCAACACUCUGGCAGGGAUGAGGAGGGUCUCUCAAGGCCCCUCCCCCUAGCUGAGGCGCUAUUGGCAGUUUAUCGCUGCUAGAGGAGGGGGGGCGGUCAUUUGUCCUUGAGGGUGUGGCUAUUGGCAAGUUGUCCGUGCUCCAGUGGACAGCACCCCUGUGAGCAGCACUGAUGGGAUUCAGUGAAAAUGUGCUGGGUCCCCUAGCAGCUGCCCCCCUAGACAAGCCUUCACACCCCUCCACCUCUCCGAACCCUGUCACAUUUUGUGGCCUGAAACCUGAAGCCUCACCCUUCUAGUUAUCAGUCUAUGGGAGUUUCAUAGGAGACACUCGAAAACUCUGUGACGAGGCUGAGAGUGGAUAAGUUGUGGCUGAGCCUUGUAACUCGCAGAUUGUGGUUGUCAAACAGACCACCUCAGCUUAUAUGCAGAUUCCUGCUCUACCUCACCAACAUGGGGGUCCCGUGCUUCCCUCUCAGUCUCCGAACUCGGGACCCCCUAUGCCUAGUGAAGCUUUCUCAUUGUUAGAAGGCUGGAGGCUGUCAGUUGCUGCUUCCUCAGCAGUGGGGGACUCAGGUGUCCCAGUCAUCUGAGUGUAGAAGACCUGUGUGCAGCCAGAUCGGGGUUCCCAGCAUGUACUGGGGAAGGCAAUUCAGUCAUAUGCACCCAUGUAGGUCUGAGUCCAGGGCCUUUGGAUGUAGCGACCACAGUUCAGGGACUUCUUCCCCUGCAGGCUUCUGCCACAGCUGGUCCAUGGGGCGGGGGAAGCCCUGGCGAGAGCCUAGGCUAGGGGUGGUCACAGUCUUGGAACGAAUGCCUGCCCUGUCUUUGCACCUUUGUUCUUUAAGCAGAGACAGUAGUGGUCAGUUAUUAAGCUAGUCUGCAUUUGACACUCAGGGUGACCACCUUUUUCAGCCCUCUCAUCCCAUGGUGAGGGGGUAGGGCUGGGGGCGGGUUCUGCUUAUUGUCACUACACAGACUGGACAGCAGGCUGAGGACAGCUAAUUAAAUUCCAGGCCUGUGCAGAAAUAAACCUCAAUGGCUGCUCCGACUUAGGCUCCCAGACUCGUGCUCUUAGCUGCCAAAUUUGAUUGACCCCCAAGGGGAGUCAUUUCACCUCUCUGCCUGUGUCCACUGAGUGUUCUAGCACCUGAACAAUGUAUAGACAGGAGGGAGAGGACGGUUUCCCACCCACAGCUCUUCUUGGCUCCCCCUCAGGACAGUUGUCUGACUCUGGUACGGGGAGUUUUCUUGCCCUCUGGGGUACAGAUCCUGGUCACUCCUGUCCCCAGCCUGAAGCCUGCCACUCUCCAGCUCUCCUGGCAGCAAGGAAGACAGCUGACAGCUCCUGCCAGGGCCCAAGCCAGGGAACAAUGGGGGACAUUGAGAAGGCUGCCAGGUGCCAAGCCAGAGGUAAUAAAGGGACAUUUGAUUAGUUUCAACCCGAAUUGUCAGGCUCUGCUCUCUUUCUCCAGGCAGCGGUUAAAGGGCACAAAAAAGGUACGGCUUCCCUCCUUGGGGGGCGGGGGGUAUGGUGCCAGUUCCUGACUGGGCAGCCAUCUUAGGCCUGAAACUCCCAGCAAUAGGGAGCUCAUCUCACUUCCCUCAAGUUCUUCAGUUCUCCAUCGUGGCUCAGGGUGACAGAGGAUCUCUCAGUGACCCUCCACUCAGCUUUUCUGUCUCUCCUCAAGUUUUUCCUUUCCUAGAAAGCCUUACCUGGCCAUUUGAGGAGGAACUCAACUGUCUCUUGGAAGUGUGUGUAGAACCUACUGCCUGGUGCUAACCCCAUACACCUUCAGGCUCAGCAGAAGCAAGUCAUGUAUUCAAGCCAUUCUAGCAGGAGCUCUGUUGUGGGAGGCUUUGGAUGGGGGCUGGGGUAGAGUGGACGGGGAUCCACGACUGUUGAAGGUGAGCCCAUACUCCUUCCCUGGGAGUUCUACUCCCAAAAUGGCCAUUGUGUCUGGGGGUAAUCUUUCAGUCAAGAGAUCCCCUGGGCUUGUGGGUGGUCUGUUUUCUGUUGCAGCUACUCACAUAAUGCCACUGUGGAGUAAACAUGGCUACCUUAUGUAUGACAUGCUAUGUUCCAAUAGAAUAUAUCUUUGUGGAAUGGGCAGCAUGCCGGUCCGGCAAGCUGUGGUUUGUUGGCUCCUGCUCUGGUCUCUUCCUGAUAGAAGAGCCCCCAGGUGACAGAUGGAGCCCUUUAGGAAUUGUAUGACCGAGGGCAGGCUGGUCCUCAGCUGUGCAGUGCGUCUUUUGAGAGGGUGAGUCUUGAGGUCCUGCCAGUUCUGGACACACAGUGAGGCCCCGAGUUCCCCGCAGUGGGUCCGGCAUACCAUUGUGGCUAAGCAGAGCCCUUUAGUGCAAACCAAAUACUCUCUCCCGCUGAUGCCCCACCGUGUGCUUACCCCACCUUUCUGAGAUCAUAGCCCCACCCUCCUGUGAGAUCAUAGUCCAGUCGGCACCUACAGCCAGAGAAUGUCACAGGCAGAACUCAGAGGCACCUGUCCUUCUCUAAAACUCUCCAGAAGCUGGCCAAGGCAGCACACACAAUGUAUACAACUCUGUUCAUCUCUCCCUACCCAACACUCCAGCUGUAGUGGAUGUCUUAACACACCAGACAUGUGUCUCCCCCGGGACCCUGGAUGUAGAAUGCUUUCCCCAAAGACUGGUGCAUGACUAGGUCAUGAUCUUCGAGGUCUCAGCUCCAGUGUCACCUCAGAGAGCCCAUUCCCUCCUCUCAUCUCUUUGCAGUGUCUCAAACUGAAUUGUCUGUCCUACAGUUCAGUUGACUAGCACGGCCUCACUUCUCAUUUCCUGGUUCGUGUUUCUGUCAAACACCAGGAGGUGUGUGGAUGUCUUGCCCAUUUGCGUGUCUGUGCACCCUGUGGGAGCCUGGCGCCUGGGGAGGCCAGAAGAGGGAGUCAGAUGCCGUGGAACUGAAGUUACAAAUGGUUGUGACAUGUCACGUGAAUGCUGGGAACUGAACCUAGAUCCAUUAGAAGAGUGACAAGUGGGCUUAACCACUGAGCCAUCUCUCCAGCCCAAAGGAGCUCCUCAUCCUCCUGUUUCCACCUCCCAAGUGCUGGAGUUACUGUGCCUGCCCUAACCUUAGGCUUAAGGCCAUAGGUUUGACUGUUCGAGCCCCAGUUUGGUACAUUACUGGCUGUGUGAGUUGGGUUGCGUGCUUUAAUUCUCUUUGUUUUCUCAUUCUAAGCUGGGCAUGAAAGACUGGGAGUGCAGCUCAAUGGUGGGCUUCUGCCUUGUGUGCUUGAGGUCCUGGGUUCUAUCCCAAAGCACCAUGGGAAAAAAAUAAAAUAAAGUGAAGUAAAGGAGCCGCGAUCAUAGAACCUGCUUCCUGGGCUUCUUGUCAGGAUUGUUGUCUGUGUGCGUAGCUUGGAGUUUAAGUGCUUGUGUGGAGAUCAGAGGACAGUUUUGGGGAGUCGGUUUCCCCCUGCUAUCUUGCAUGGCUAGUGUUUGUACCUGCUGAGUCAUCUCGCCAGCCAGUUAUCAGACUUAAAUGAGUGCACCUGUCUGUCUCUCUGUCUGUCUGCCUUUCUGUCUGUCUUACACACACACACACACACACACACGCAUGCACGCGCGCGCACACACACACACACACACACACGAAGCACUCUGGCUUUUAGUGACAGAUACCAUUGUCACUCCAUUUGUCCCUGACCCAGGGCUGCUGAAAUUAUUGUCCUGAAAUCCAGGGCUGAGGUGGAGGGCCACCCACUGGACUCCUGACUGUAUCGGAGACGGGUACGUCCCUGGCAGAGGAUACCUGCAGUGGCCCUACUCCAGGAGUGUGGUGGAGCGUCUCCUGCUAGGGAAGGCAGCUCUGGUGAAGUGUCUCAGAGCAGGCCUUCUACUGGGAAGCCACUCAGGCAGGGAAGUGCAGAGGAAGCUGUUGGCAGAAGAUGCUGGUGAAGAGGCAGGCAGUGUAAGAUCCAGGCCUGGAGACCUGCCGAUGGCAGGAGCCUGGUGCCAGGGGCACUACCUACCCUUGCUACCUGCCCUGCUAGCAUGUCAGGGUCGAUAUGGCAACCCCUUUUUGUGUGCUGUGCUGCUGCUCGGACCCUUUUAAGGGCCACAGCACACGUAAUCCUAUGAAGGGAAACAGGUUUAAAGAUACAGAGACAUUUUUGCUUGGCAGGCAGUGACAGUGUCUUUGGAGCCCAAAAGUAACAAACUUAUCAGUCGCCAUUGUUUUGGCCUGAUAUUAAUAAAAUACUUCAGGUGAGUGAUUUAAAUACUAAAUGUUUACUUCUCACGGGUAUGGAGGCUGGAAGUCUGAGCUCAGGGUGCCAGUGGGGUCUUUCCCUGGUAAGAGUUCUUCCUGGUUUGCAGAUGUUGAGUGCUUAUAUCCCACGGCGUAUGUGUCUCUGAAUCUGUUCUUACUAAGGCACUAAUCUUAUUCAUGGCGACCCCACCCUCGUAAGCUGUGUCCUGAUUACCUCCUAAAGCCCCACCUCCAAAUGCCAUCAAAGUGGCAGCUAGAACUUGAACAUGGACCUGGGGAAGCAUUCAGUGUGUGACCCUGGCACAGGUGGCGUCUGUGUGGGGGCAUCCGUGGGAUACCUGCAUUGUCUUACAUGCAGUAAUACAUCCAGGCCCUUGCCAGGGCCUGUGGUGGCUCCUGUGAUCAAAUGCUUUUAUUUUUCCUUGUGACGAAAAGUACAGACACACUGGGGGAGGAAUAAAGACCGAGAAUAAGGCUGUGUCUAUUCAGGUCAGACUCUGUCACUAAACAAGUUAAUUUAAGAAGUUAUUAAAAGUGCAUCUUGGAUCUGGGAAUUGAAGCUAAGGGCUGGUUGACCCGUCUUCUCUUCACUUCUUUGCUUCUGGUUUGUAAAUUAUGCCACUGCUCUCCUGAGAGUUCUUCAGCAGCUUCCUGCUCUAGAAUAGAGACCUGAGCUCUGCCCCAGGCCCCUCCUCCCCGUGCCGUCCUCCCCACCUCCGUCCUCACCAAGUGCAGGACCUCUUUUCACAGCAGGGAGUACUUUCUUGGUGCUUGGACACUCAUAUGUACACAUGCAUACACCAAAGACAUGCAUGUGCCCAAUAUGCUAUGUGCAUGCACCAAAUAUGCACACGUGUGACAAACACAGGCCACAGAGGCACGUACCAGAGAUGCACACGCAUGCAAAGCACACACCAAACAUAUAUGUGUAUACACACUGCUCAUGCACCACACACUCAUACAGACCACACAUGCACACCUGUGUACACUCAGAACACACAAGUUCGCACGCACCAGAAGCAAGUGCUGUGGUCCCUUUCAGAUCUCAGCUCAGGCGUCUUUUCCCAAGGCGGGACGUCCCUGGCCCACGGCCCACUUACGGGUCUUCUUUAAAGCUCCACGUUCUUAGUUUAUACAGCCUUAAAGACGGGUUGUUUGACGAGUCCCUCUUGCUAUUAACUAUAAAUCCACAAGGACAGUAGCUGUGUCUGCUUCCCCACCGUUUUAUGCCUCCUGUUUUACACAGUGCCUGCCCUGUGUCAGACCUUAUGAGUGAGAAAAGGAACGACCAAACUUGGAUGCUCUCCUGGACCAGAAUUCUAAAAAAAAAAAAGCAUAGCUGGGCAUAGCGUCAAGGGGUGGCAUCGUGGGCUCAUAAUCUCAGCACUCAGAGGGGAGAAGCAGGGAGAUCGGGAGUUCAAGGUCGUCCUUGGCUGCAUAACAGUUCCAAGGCCAGCCUGGGCUACAUGAGACCCUUGACUAGAAAGGUGUAAAGAAUGAUAGUGAAGAAGUCGGCAGCUUUUGAGUGUGGGCUGUAGUUAGACGGUGGUAGUGUUGUGAUCAUGUUGGUGCCUUUAUUCUUAGGAGACACAUGAAUGAAAAAUAAAGUUAUAUCAAUUUUCACGCGGGUCAGAAAAAACAGAGGCAGAGAAGCGGGGAAAGGAGAAAUGGGCGUAGGUCAGAUGCCAGAGAAGAUGGUGGAAGCUGUUUCCCCUACCUUCAUCCUCCUGUGAGUUUAAGCUUUUGCUCUCUACCGAGGAGUAACUCCAUGAGCAAGCAGGGUAGGCACAGCAGUGCACGCUCAUGGUAAUCCCAGCCCUGCAAAGCUCAGACAGGAUUGCCAUGAGUUUGAGGCCAGCCCAAGCUACAUGAGGCCCUGUGCCACCACCACCCCCCCAUUUUUUCUUAAAAGAACAAACAGAAAAGCACAGAGGAGCCAAGGACAUAUCCCACUUGCUAGAGAGUUUGUUUAUCUUGUAAGAAAUGCUGAGCUCCAUUUCCAAGCACCACAUAAACGGAACGUGGGAACAUGGUGGUACAAUCCCGCCCGGAACUCAGGAGGUGAAAGCAGGGGGAUCAGGAGUUCAAGGUCAUCACAGAACAAAAAGUAAUAAAAUACAAAAUCCCAUGAAUGAAUGAGAAAGGAGGAGCUAGGAGGAGGAAGAGAAGCUGUAAGUCCAGAGGGGGAGGACGGGAACCUGCGGCCCUGUACAGGGCACAGUGGCCCUAAGUGGUCACGGAGCUGUCACUUCCUGUGUAUAUCUAGAUCAGGGAGGGUGCUAUGCUGUGCCAUCGGGCUCUGCCAUGGGGUCCAUCUGCAUCCCCCUCUUUUUCUUAUGAUGCUAUUUGAUUGUAUGAAGCCAGGUAGUCCUGGCUUUUCAGUCUGACUUCCAAUGUUGUAGAUUGUUUUCUCCGUUAAAAUAAAUAAAUAAAACUCGCAAUUUCCCUGUUGCCCACUUGUUCUUGAACACACUGCAUUUCCCUUCUUAGUUAUUUAUUGCUGUCUAAGAAGUUAGUCUCAAACAUGGAAGCUUAACACACGGAUAUUUAUUUGCUCUGGGUUUGGGCGGGUCGAGGAUUCUGUCUUUGCUGGAAGGUUCUAGCUCUGGAUCCUAUGAUUACAGUUAAGAUGCUGGCUCAGUAUGCUUACUUUAACCUGGCCGUGGUAGUGGGCAUUUGUAGUCCCAGCGCUGGGAGGGUGGAGGCAAAGGAUUAGGCUCUCAGAGUCAUUCCUGGUGACCAGUGAGUUUGAGGCUAGCGUGGGUUACAUGAGACUCUGGAAACAAACAAAUGAGGGCUGGUGAAGCCUGAGAGCCUGAGUUUGAUCCCUAGAAACCAUGGUGAGAGGACAGAACCAACUCCCAAAAAGUUGUGCUCUGAUUGGUCUCUCUCUGUGUGAGGAUGAGGAAGAUGAGGAGGAAGAUGGUAAAUAGGGGCCAAAUGACUUAGUGGUUAAAGCCUUGUCCUGCAGCUAUGAAGACUACACUGUGGGUUCUCAGAAUCUGUCUAGAUGUCAGAUGGGCGUGGCAGCCCACCUGUUAGUCCAGAUUCUGAAGGCAGGGUCACGGGAUCCCAGAGCAAGCUGCUCCUGGGACUAACUGUAUUGAUGUACUCUGGGUUUGAUUGAGAAACCCUGCCUCAAUGACUAAGGUAGAAGAGUGAUCAGAGAUGUCUCCUGACUUCGACCUCAAGCUUUCAUAUACACAUACACACACACACACACACGCACAUGCACACAAAUACUCACAUGUGCACAUAUGUAAAACAUGCAAGCCUAAUAUGAAACACACACAAAUUGAAAAGUAAGUUUUUUUUAAAGAUGGUGGUCGUAUUGCAGGCUUCUAGAGUCUGCCUUGUGUUGGGCAGUCUGCUCCCAGAGGACAUGGUAUAGGAGGAAGCCUCAGUUGCUCAAAGUAUGGACCUGUCCAUGAGAGACUUUGAUGACCUCACACUAUGGCUUUCCCUAGACCAAGUGACUCAGAAGGGCAAGCUGAGACCACAGAUCCUCUGGUGAUGCAGCUCAGUUGGUAGAGCUCUUGCCAAGCAUGCGUGAGUCCCCUGAACUUUAUAAAACCCCCUGUGGUGGCUCAGGCUUACCUGUGACUUAGGUGGAGAAAGAAGAAUCAGAUGUUGAGUCAUUCUCUGUUAUAUUGGAACUUCCAGGGACUACACGAGUCCCUGUUUCAGACAGAACUUAAUUAAUAAGUUCAUUAAUGAAUCUAGGGCCUUACUGUUGUUUUGUUUGUUUGUUUGUUUUUGAGGCAGGGUAUGUAGCCCUGGCUGUCCUGGAACUCACUAUGUAGACCAGGCUGGCCUCAAAUUCAGAAAUCCGCCUGCCUCUCAAGUGCUGGGGUUAUGUAUGUGUACCACAGCCAGCUAAAUGUAAAACCUCAUGCUUUAGCCUGUGUCUCUUGGUUUCUGCAUCUGUAGUGUGUAGCUGGAUAACACAUAGACAGCCGUGAGUUACUCUCAUCAGUGCCCGGCACAUAGGAGACCAAGGCUGUUCCUCUGCCACUGUUAAGGGUCAGACUCGGCUUUGUGUCUUCAAGACCUUUGCAUCAGUUUGACCAACGUCCGAGGCCAAGAUGAGAGAAGCCGGCACCAAGUCCAGCCUUCCAACCUUCAAAUGGAGUGAUUGGUUGAAGGGAGGGGACCAGAGAGAUGAGUCAGCAGUUAAAAGCAGGGACUAACUGCCCUUGCAGAGGAUCCAAGUUCACCUCCCAGCGUCUUCUUUGGCUGUCACACCACCUCCCCUAACAUCAAUUCCAGGGGAUCCAAUGCCCCCUUCUGGACUCUGCAGGUACCUGUAUUCACGUGCACAGAUAAUACCCGCCCCCUAUACAUAAUAGAAAAAAUAAAAAUGAGAGAUGAAGGGGAACAAGCAUAUCCAGGCUAGCAUUCCAGCAGGUAUUCAAUCCCGGUGUCUCAGCUCCGUCCAUGUGGAUGUGAAGGCCGUCAGGUAUGCCUGCUCUUGCCCUCCUCCGCAGGCCCAGAUCACAGCAGAUGUUAGGAAGCUGAGCUGGCAACCCCCCCAGCCCCUGAUGUGCUUUCUCUGUUGAUCUAAGAGCCCUGGGUGACAGCCCGAGUCAGGCAGGGUGCAGGCCUGGGUUAUACAGUCCUGGAACCUCUCUCUGGGCCCUGGGGGCCUCUGACAAAGCUCUCCUUCCAGCGGAUGGAAGGCCGAGAGCAUUGUUUGGGGAACUGCAGCUCCAGUGCACAGCCUCAGGACCCUUCUAGCUGUUGGAGACAUACGGACAAAGCGGUCAGUGGGAUUGUGCCUCCCGCCCGCUGCCAGCCACUGACAGUCUCUGUUAAUAAACAUGCUUCUCAAGGAUGGAUUUGUGUCUGAAUUCUGAGGAUUCCCAGCAACUCCAGAGUCAAGAGCCAGACCUCAAACCCAGUAAGCAGUUUGGGGGACUUUGAAGUUAGAAUGGUUGGAUUUUCUUCUCUCCUGACUUCUUUGCCUGUGCAGGGUCACUAUGGACGAAGCCCAAGGUUUCACUGACUAAGCCUAGAGGCAUUGGUCAAGCAUUCAUCCUGGGAAUGACAGCCAACCUUGAAAAACCCUAGAUCUUCCAUGGUCUUCACUUCAGACUUAAAUACUUCCUUUUUGAAACUUAAAAAAACAAACCAAACCAAAAAAAAUUUAAAAAAAAAAAAAUUGGUUUGCUGUCAUGGGCCCGUGUUUUAAAUACAUUCUAUAUAUCAAGUCUGGGUAAAUGUUUCCCUACCCUCGACCUGGCACAUUGGUAAAGGCAGAACCAGCCUCCUCCUCGGCUGCCCAGGGGAUACUCGCCUUAGGUUUUCAACUCUUCUCCACUCCCCUCAUUGGGAAAAAGCUUUCCCCCUAUGGACUAGCUGGGCUCUCCCUUGCCUCUGAGAAAGCAGAGGCUGUUCUUGGGUGACGGUGGCUUGGACCUGUCACUCCAGCACUGCAGAGGCUGAGGCAGGAGGGUCACUACAAGUGCCAGGCAAGCCUGAGCUACAGAGUUAAGCCCUGCCUCAUUCCUACUAAUUAGUUAAUUCAUUAGGUAAUUAGUGGUUAACUGGAUAGUCAUGCUGUAGCAUACCUUGAAGACCUGCUAACUGGCCUCCCGAAGAUCAAACUUGCUUCUUGAGAGCUCUUGUCUCUUCCCUCCCCCUCCCCUGCCUCCCCUCUCCCCCUCCCUUCCCCUUCCCCUCCCCCUCCCCCCCAUCUCCAUCUCUCUUUGCUGUAUUCCCAGAAGCUCCUGGAUUAGUAGGGUGUUGGCUCUGGCCCUCAGCCAGAGCAGGAUGGGUCUCCCAGCACUGGACACCUGAAGGCCUUCCUCUGCUCUAGCUGCCAUGGCUUCUCAAGCUCUGGGUAUGAGGGACCUAGAUGACUAAGUAUUGUCUGUGACAGCAUACCUGAUCCCUGGUUUGCUGCCACUGGGGCUUUUGUUGCUUCCUCUUAAGGGUGUCAUGGUGAGAGAGGCAGCAGAGACCUGAGCUGGGGGCUGGGGGUGGGGGGACAUCCCAGACAGUACGUCACAAACUCUGGAAACUUACGUGGGUACCCCAUACUGGCCUUUGAAGGUUCCUUCUCCUAACUCUCUUUAAAGGAAUAAGGAUAAUUUUAAAGCCAUGUGUCUGGGCUCUGGCUUUUCAUGUUGCAAGUCACAGGCUUACAGUUUUGGCUUACAAAACAUGCAGACAUAUCCAUAGAUACAUCCACUGCCCAUCACACCGGGCCAGGCUGUAACUCAGGGUAGAGUGCCCGCCUAACAUACAGGGAGCUCUGGGUUCAAUCCCCAGCACUGACUGGAACUGAGUGUGUUGGGGUCUGUGAGAUGACUUGGUUGGGGUGAGGGUGGUAGGGGGUGGUGGUGUGCUCUCUGCCAAUCCUGAUGGCCUGAGUUUCCUCCCGAGUGCUCGCCUGGUAGAAGGAGAUGAGAACUGGUUCUUACAGGUUGUCCUCAGGCACACACUUGCCCACGUGCUUGCACGAACAUGGGCAUUGGAACUAGACAAUAAUAAAUGUAGAACCUGGUGUGGUGGUGCACACCUAUAACCCCAGCACUAGGGAGGUGGAGGCAGGAGGCCGAGGCUAAGGUCAUUCUCAGCUAUAAGAGAUCCCCUGUCAGAAACACAACAUACGCAAAACCUUCAGGCAACAGCAAAAUCCCAGUGCCCCCCCCCCCAAAAAAAAACCCCUCUUUGAUUAAUUUCACAGCAAACUAUAGUUAUCUGGAAGUUAAGACUUUUUAAUAAUAAAAGGAGGCUCCUUCAGCCAACCAAACAAGAGGCUUCAAUUGUGGACGAGGCACCUGAUUUUCAGAGAGCCCGAAUCUGGCUACCAUUGGCGGUUUUGGACGGCUAGACAACGUGACAAUCUGAUUUCACAUAAGCAAGAAACUUCCUUGGCUUUCAGCUUGUGAACGGAACCCGGAUGAUUCCCUUGUUCUGUAUAGUAUCGAUCCAAGAAAGAAAACCUCCACUGGCCUCCAGAGAAGGGUGCACCCUCCUCCCGCCCCGGGUGGCCAUGCUCUAAUUAUAAGAACAUUACCUUUUACCUCCUAGUCAAUUCGUUUCCUGUCUGCUCAGAGG